rnacentral:rRNA from 1 species
AUGAACGCUGGCGGCGUGCCUAAUACAUGCAGGUCGAGCGAACAGACGAGGAGCUUGCUCCUCUGACGUUAGCGGCGGACGGGUGAGUAACACGUGGAUAACCUACCUAUAAGACUGGGAUAACUUCGGGAAACCGGAGCUAAUACCGGAUAAUAUAUUGAACCGCAUGGUUCAAUAGUGAAAGACGGUUUUGCUGUCACUUAUAGAUGGAUCCGCGCCGCAUUAGCUAGUUGGUAAGGUAACGGCUUACCAAGGCAACGAUGCGUAGCCGACCUGAGAGGGUGAUCGACCACACUGGAACUGAGACACGGUCCAGACUCCUACGGGAGGCAGCAGUAGGGAAUCUUCCGCAAUGGGCGAAAGCCUGACGGAGCAACGCCGCGUGAGUGAUGAAGGUCUUCGGAUCGUAAAACUCUGUUAUUAGGGAAGAACAAAUGUGUAAGUAACUAUGCACGUCUUGACGGUACCUAAACAGAAAGCCACGGCUAACUACGUG